AAUUAUACGUUUAAGCUGCUUGAAGUUAUGUUUUUAUUUCUAUAAAUUUCUGGAGAUUCCCAUCAAACCGGAAGCAAAAGAGCGCGGUACUUAAAGUUUCUAUAAAAACCAUUUAGAUCGAAAACUAUUCGUUGGCAUGCUAAGCAAGCAGCAGACCGAAGAGGAUGUUAGACAAAUUUUUAAUCCUUUUGGCACUAUAGAGGAGUGCACCAUACUCCGCGGGCCAGACGGAUCGAGCAAGGGUUGCGCCUUCGUCAAAUUCAGUUCGCAACAGGAAGCCCAAUCAGCCAUCACCAAUCUGCACGGAAGUCAGACUAUGCCGG